UUAGGUUUUUAGUUUCGGUUUCAUUGAUUUUUACGGUUCAUCUAUUUGAUUUUUCGGUUGAAAUCUAUGAUUUUUUGGGUUAUUAGAUUCAUUAUUUAGGGUAUUUCUGGGUUCAAUUCGUUGAUUUGGGGUUUUUACCGUUCGAAUCUAUGAUUUUGGGGGUUUAAUUGGGUUCGUUUUUGUUAUUCUCAUAGUUUUUGAUUGUAGGUUCAAUUUCUGGGAGAUUCGAAUUUUUUUUUUGGAGUGAUUUGUUCGAGUUAAUGGGGGAUAUUUGGGUUCGGUUAAGUGGUUUUUGGAGGUGGUUAGGGUUUGAGUUGAUUAUUUAUGGUUUUUUUCUCGAUUUUCAGGGUUUUUUUUGUGUAAGAUUUUGUAAAUUUGGUUGAAUUUAGGUGAUAUUGGUCGAAUUUGGAUUAAAUUUUGGUCGAAGUUUGGUGAAUUUUGUUCAAUUCUGGGUUUGUUGGUUUAAAUUUUCUGUGCAUCUUCAUUCCUACCUUUGUUUUGAUUUUCGUUCAAUUUCUUAUGCAUUUUAGUAUUUUGGAAGUUGAUUUUUUGAUGAAUUUGGUUCGAAUUUUUGAUCCAGAUUAGUUAUACUAGAGUUUAUUGAUGAAUUUGGUUCGAAUGUGAUGAAUUUGGUUGGAAGUUUUGAUGAAUUUGCUCGAUUUAUUUUGUCAUUUCUGGUAUUAAUGUUUUCUGUUACUUGUUCAUUGCUAGUUACAAAAGUCUUGAGUCAGACUCUAAUUCUCAUUUAUUUGAAUUAGCUUAAUUGUUUCCAAGGUUUUCUUCUUCUCCUCCUUUCUUUUUCCCAACUGUCAGUUGUGUUCUUAACUGUGUUCUUAUUUGUCUUUUGAGAUGAUGUUCUUUGUUUGUUUGUUUUCAUUUUCUCGGAAAAAUUUCCUGUUUUUCAUUUGGAUUUUUUAUGGUGUAAUACAGGUGGGCAAAGGGUUAUAUUUAAAGCGCAGAAGUUGGCAUUUCAGCAUUGGAUUGAGGCUGAUCUGUUUUGAAGAUUUUGGGUGAUGAAGAUUUGGCAUGAAGAUUAUGUAGAUGAUGUUGUUUUUUUCCCUUUUAUUAAUUUUGUAAUUUGAUGAACUUUCCUUAGUUGUAGUCUUGUAAAUUUUAGUUGUUAUGUAUUUUUUGUGGUUUUAUUAAUUGUAUGUAUGUUUAAUUAUUUAGAAAUCAUUAAUAAAAAUUUAGUUUAUAUAAA